rnacentral:hammerhead_ribozyme from 1 species
AUACUUCUGAAGAGUCCCAUAACAGGACGAAACAACCGUUCAGUAU